CAGAUUACUAAGUUUUCGUUUGAUGUUAGUUGUAAAAUAUGAUUCCCUUUAGACCCAGAUUCUUCAGUGUGUUUCCUUUUGUUCUCUGGAUAACAGGUCUAACUGAUGGAAGUGAUGUCAAUCAGACUCCUCUGCUGUGGACGAAGGAGGGUCAGUCUACCACCAUGAGCUGCAAUCACACUAAAGAUGCUUCUUACUUCCAGAUGUACUGGUACCAACAGCUGUCUGGACAGAACAUGAAACUAAUAGUAUUUACAACAACAACUCCUCCACAUAAGUAUGAACAAGGCUUCAGUGAGGAGAAAUUUCCCGCAGAGAAGAAGGAUGCUCAGACUGGAUCUCUGACAGUGAACAACUCGAAGCCUGAAGACAGUGGAUUGUAUUUCUGUGCUGUAAGUCAACACAGUGAUGCAGCUGAUUGA